AACGCUGGCGGCGUGCUUAACACAUGCAAGUCGAACGGUAAGGCCCUUCGGGGUACACGAGUGGCGAACGGGUGAGUAACACGUGGGUAAUCUGCCCUGCACAUCGGGAUAAGCCUGGGAAACUGGGUCUAAUACCGAAUAGGACCACAGAACACAUGUCCUGUGGUGGAAAGCUUUUGCGGUGUGGGAUGGGCCCGCGGCCUAUCAGCUUGUUGGUGGGGUGAUGGCCCACCAAGGCGACGACGGGUAGCCGGCCUGAGAGGGUGUCCGGCCACACUGGGACUGAGAUACGGCCCAGACUCCUACGGGAGGCAGCAGUGGGGAAUAUUGCACAAUGGGCGAAAGCCUGAUGCAGCGACGCCGCGUGGGGGAUGACGGCCUUCGGGUUGUAAACCUCUUUCACCAUCGACGAAGGUUCGGGUUUUCUCGGAUUGACGGUAGGUGGAGAAGAAGCACCGGCCAACUACGUGCCAGCAGCCGCGGUAAUACGUAGGGUGCGAGCGUUGUCCGGAAUUACUGGGCGUAAAGAGCUCGUAGGUGGUUUGUCGCGUUGUUCGUGAAAUCUCACGGCUUAACUGUGAGCGUGCGGGCGAUACGGGCAGACUUGAGUACUGCAGGGGAGACUGGAAUUCCUGGUGUAGCGGUGGAAUGCGCAGAUAUCAGGAGGAACACCGGUGGCGAAGGCGGGUCUCUGGGCAGUAACUGACGCUGAGGAGCGAAAGCGUGGGGAGCGAACAGGAUUAGAUACCCUGGUAGUCCACGCCGUAAACGGUGGGUACUAGGUGUGGGUUUCCUUCCUUGGGAUCCGUGCCGUAGCUAACGCAUUAAGUACCCCGCCUGGGGAGUACGGCCGCAAGGCUAAAACUCAAAGAAAUUGACGGGGGCCCGCACAAGCGGCGGAGCAUGUGGAUUAAUUCGAUGCAACGCGAAGAACCUUACCUGGGUUUGACAUGCACAGGACGCCGGCAGAGAUGUCGGUUCCCUUGUGGCCUGUGUGCAGGUGGUGCAUGGCUGUCGUCAGCUCGUGUCGUGAGAUGUUGGGUUAAGUCCCGCAACGAGCGCAACCCUUGUCUCAUGUUGCCAGCGGGUAAUGCCGGGGACUCGUGAGAGACUGCCGGGGUCAACUCGGAGGAAGGUGGGGAUGACGUCAAGUCAUCAUGCCCCUUAUGUCCAGGGCUUCACACAUGCUACAAUGGCCGGUACAAAGGGCUGCGAUGCCGCGAGGUUAAGCGAAUCCUUUUAAAGCCGGUCUCAGUUCGGAUCGGGGUCUGCAACUCGACCCCGUGAAGUCGGAGUCGCUAGUAAUCGCAGAUCAGCAACGCUGCGGUGAAUACGUUCCCGGGCCUUGUACACACCGCCCGUCACGUCAUGAAAGUCGGUAACACCCGAAGCCAGUGGCCUAACCCUUUGGGAGGGAGCUGUCGAAGGUGGGAUCGGCGAUUGGG
rnacentral:rRNA from 1 species